GUGAGAAUUGAACGCUGAUUGAACUGAGCUGCCCCGGCUGAAUGAAGCCUGGCCUGUGUACGCCUCUCCAUUGAACGGGAGUCACUCAGGCUGCUGCCCUGGGAUUUUCUGUUCAUUUCCACAGCAGCAUAGCUGGUAAAUCUGCAGUCAACAGGAAAGUUCCCUGGCAGAAUGCACCUCUCAAUCAAUGUUGGACAGAAGCAUGCCCACCUUUGAAGCUGUAAACAUCCAGGAAGUCCAUCCAGAA
rnacentral:lncRNA from 1 species